CUAAAAGAGCAUGGAAACCCCACAGACAGGUUUACACCAGCGCAUUUGAUGCAGUCUUGGUUUAGGUUCAGGUUUUCUAGCUUUUCUUUCCUGAUUUAAAUCUAAUUUUAAAAAUUUUCUGAAGAAUUAUGACAUUAAUCUCUUAAUGUGUCACAAUACUGAAAAUCAAUCCUCCUUUUUUCAUAUUAAAGGCUAGUCAAAUGAAGCAGUGGGAGUGGAAAAGGAACAAAUAAAUCUGUAACUGGUUGUGAUCAAUUAGUUGUAAGCACCACUGCACGAGGACCAGCCCAAAGCUGCUACUUAACCAAGUGACUUUCUGAUUGCUCAACUGUGUUUCAACCGGGAAAAAUGCAUUGAAAUGAAACAUCUCAUUUCCAGUACU